UACAGAGGUCUCAAGCGUUGUUCGGAUUCAUUGGGCGUAAAGGGCGCGUAGGCGGCGCGGUAAGUCACUUGUGAAAUCUCUGAGCUUAACUCAGAACGGCCAAGUGAUACUGCAGUGCUAGAGUGUGGAAGGGGCAAUCGGAAUUCUUGGUGUAGCGGUGAAAUGCGUAGAUAUCAAGAGGAACACCUGAGGUGAAGACGGGUUGCUGGGCCAACACUGACGCUGAGGCGCGAAAGCCAGGGGAGCAAACGGG
rnacentral:rRNA from 1 species